AGCACUGUGGCUUAGUGGAAAGAGCACUGGCUUAGGAAUCAGAGGUUGUGGGUUCUAAUCCCAGCUCUGCCG
rfam:Ornithorhynchus anatinus chromosome 4, whole genome shotgun sequence.